rnacentral:rRNA from 1 species
CCCUUAGAUGCUCUGGGCCGCACGCGCGCUACACUGGUCGAUGCAACGAGUUUCUUUCCUUGGCCGACAGGCCUGGGCAAUCUUUGAACAUCGAUCGUGAUCGGGAUAGAUUCUUGUAAUUUUUGAUCUUAAACGAGGAAUUCCUAGUAAACGCAAGUCAUCAGCUUGCAUUGAUUACGUCCCUGCCCUUUGUACACACCGCCCGUCGCACCUACCGAUUGAAUGGUCCGGUGAAAUCUCGGGACGGCGGCUUGGUCGCUUGCGUCCGACUGCUGAAACUUGAUUAAACCAUAUCAUUUAGAGGAAGGUGAAGUCGUANCA